rnacentral:tRNA from 1 species
GGAUGUAGCUCAGGGGUAGAGCAUUUGCUUAGCAUGUAUGAGGCCCUGAGUUCAAUCCCCAGCAAUGCA